rnacentral:rRNA from 1 species
GCUCAGGAUGAACGCUGGCGGCGUGCCUAAUACAUGCAAGUCGAGCGAACAGACGAGGAGCUUGCUCCUYUGACGUUAGCGGCGGACGGGUGAGUAACACGUGGAUAACCUACCUAUAAGACUGGGAUAACUUCGGGAAACCGGAGCUAAUACCGGAUAACAUGUUGAACCGCAUGGUUCAACAGUGAAAGACGGUCUUGCUGUCACUUAUAGAUGGAUCCGCGCCGCAUUAGCUAGUUGGUAAGGUAACGGCUUACCAAGGCAACGAUGCGUAGCCGACCUGAGAGGGUGAUCGGCCACACUGGAACUGAGACACGGUCCAGACUCCUACGGGAGGCAGCAGUAGGGAAUCUUCCGCAAUGGGCGAAAGCCUGACGGAGCAACGCCGCGUGAGUGAAGAAGGUCUUCGGAUCGUAAAACUCUGUUAUUAGGGAAGAACAAAUGUGUAAGUAACUAUGCACGUCUUGACGGUACCUAAUCAGAAAGCCACGGCUAACUAC